rnacentral:tRNA from 1 species
GCCGAUGUGGCGGAAUUGGUAGACGCGCUACGUUCAGGUCGUAGUGGGCUUAAACCCGUGUGGGUUCGAAUCCCACCAUCGGCA